GUGAGGAGGCAGAAGAAGCACUUUAAGACGGAGAGGGACAAGGCCCAAAGAUCCUGGGACACCUCCAAGAGAAACCAGGAGUAGACUGAGGCCAGGAUGAAAGAUGUAUGGAUAAAUGGAAGCUGAGCAGGACGAGCUGCAGAAGAGGCAGACAGAGGUCAUUCUGGGUGUGCAGCAGAAGAGUGGCCUGAAGGCCAUGUUCCUGGAGAUGAAGAUAAAGGGCGUGACAAAAAUCCAGGAGAAGGAGCAGUUUAAACUCUGAGUGGUGCUUGCCUUUGGACAGGGAGACCAAAGGGCUGCAACAAACAUUGGGGCUCUGUCUCUAAAGUGAUGUCUGCUGUCUUGUACAGUCUUGAGAUGGCACACUUUCUCCAUCGCUGAGCUGGAAUCCCCACACGGGUGACAAUGUGCAUUUUUAAAGGCUGCCAUUGUUCAGCAGUGACACAGCAGGCACUGGGAUGCAUGACCUGAGGCAAGAGACAAGAAGUUAAUUGUCAAAAUUGGGGGGCAGGAGGUCCAGUAAAACAAUAGGCCUACACAAAAUAUUUAUUUAGCAUUGAAGCUUCUAUUAAAUUUAAAAUUAGAAGCUUAUACAAUAUUUGGGCGUUUAGUAAAUGCCCCUAAAAUAAGUUCCUAUCCAGAAGGUGAACAACAGGAUGUGUUUUCAUCCAGUCUCAAGUUAUAAGAAUUUCUUUCUAAACACAAAUGUGGUAUUUUAAACCGCAAAACUGUGAAUCCUAUUGAACAGUCUGUUCAUGAAUAGAAAAAAGUUAAAUUACAUUUAUUAAAGGAAUAUGUCAAGUAUGAUAUUGUAUAAAAGAUGCUUUUUUUCCCUAAUAAGUAACCAUAUCAAUAUUUAUUAAAUAAUAUUAUUUGUUAAGCCCAAUUCAGUCAAUAUUACUUCUUAACCUCAUUUCGUACAAGGUCAUUUGAGUGAGUUAGAAUUAGUUUCUUGCAAUUAUUGUAUGUGAGGUUUCCCCUCAGAAACUAAUGAAGUGGUAGUACUCAAAAUGGAAGAUGCAGCUAUUUUCUGUUGUCUUAAGACUUUAAAAUUUGCCAUGUUAACAGGAUGUUUUAUGUAAUUUUAAGACAAUCAUUGCUGCCAAGAGAAUAAAAUCCUUUUUCUCAGCUAAUCUGCGAUAAACCUGUAGGUUUUAGUCAAAUUCAAGAGCAUACAAUUUAGACGUGACCCUGCCAAUCUAUCCUAGAAAAUUCUGGAAUCAUUUGAACCGUAAAUUCAAUAAAAAUAAUAGAAACUCUUUGAAUCAAAUACAAAUUGAUAAUGCCAUUUUUUCGGAUCCUUUAGUUAUUUCUAGUGCUUUCAAUCAGCAUUUUUCUUCUAUUAGUAGUUUAAAAAACUCCCAUGACAUAGCUAGUUCUUCCAGCAUGAUCUUCUCUACUGGUGCAUUCUGUUUGAGAUCAAUCAUGCCUAUUGAUUUUUUUUAUGUCAUUUGCGAGUUAAAAGAAAAUAGCAGUGCGGGUCCUGACAGUCUUGAAGCUUGAGAGAUUUAUUAAGAUUGCUGCUCAUGUGCUAAUGUUCCCACUUUCUGAUUUAUACAACCUGUCCUUUUCUAGCCGAGUCACUCCUCUGCUCAAAGGUGGAGACCCAUCUGAUGUGAACAACUACUGUCCAAUUUUUAUUAUCUGUUCUAUUGCCAAAAUUAAUUUUUAAUCAAUUAUCACAAUAUCUUAAUCAGUGCAACAUCUUAUACUCUGAUCAGUCUGGCUUUAGACCGGAUUUUUCAACCACCACAGCCCUUUUAAAGUUCACUAAUGAUGUGUUCUCAGCAUUUGACAAAGGCCAAUAUAAUGGUGCUAUCUUUAUUGACCUUUCCAAGGCCUUUGAUGUGGUUGAUCAUAUUAAUGCUAUCACAUAUAACUAUGUUGGUUAGUUAUACAUAAGGCUUACACUCGGGGUAAUUAAUAAUUUGAUUUGUUUUUGGGUUGAAUGUUAGUUGAUUUUCAAUUGGUAUGAUUUAAGUUAUAGGAUUGUUUAACUUAUUUUCCUUGUGUUAACUGAGAGUGUUGGGUGUGGGUGAGAGUGGGUGUUCGUGUUAUCUGUAUAUGUGUAAUAUAUGUAGAUUUGUGAUGUUCUAUUUUGUAUUUGUUCAUUAUGUAUUUGUGUUAUAGGACCCACUUGAAAAUGAGAUGCUGCAUCUGAAGGCGCUAUCCUUCAAUAAAUACAAUAUCCAGCAACUACUGCAUUGCCAUUAAGAAUCAUUUUGAUCAGAACAAUUAAAUAUAACCACUGUUGUCCAUCACUGUCUAGAUAAUGUAUUUGGUACACUAACUUGUUCUCUGCUAUGAGUCCAAUGCAUGUUUUUAUCACCAACAGUGAAAUAUCUGCCCUUGAGCAGGUUGCAGUGUUACACAAGCUGAAUGAAGACUAUGUUGAUUCAGGUGCCUGGUAUUUUUAAUAACAGCAUAUAAAGCAAAAGAACAGUUUUAGAUGAGCAUAGCCCUUUGUUGCACGGUUCAGGCUUGAGUAAAUUGCUCCUAUGCAAGGAUCACAGCCAGUCACUGACAUAACUAAGCUGCUACUGCCAUCUUAGGGCAAAAACCGAUGUCGUCCUAGAGCUACUAAAGUUGAGUGUAGGUUUAGGUUUUUCUCUGACUUCAUUACACAAAGGAUUUAAAAUAAUAAUAAACCAAAAUUUUUUUUAAAUAAUGACGGGGGGUCCAAUUAAAUAAUAUGAAUGAAUACAAUAAUAAUCAUGGGCAUAAUACUAAACAUCAUACUGCCACUCUGUCAAAACCAGCUUUACUAUGGUACCAUGAGUUGCCUCUGUGGGUUAAAACCUACAGGGGUUAAUCAAUAUUGAAUAUAUUUUGUGUAUGGUGGACUAAAGGGUAUGAAAUAUUAUAAAAUACAUGUUAUACAGAUAUGUUUAAGGGUGACAUUUUGUACUUGCAGCUGGUCUGUGUGUACCUUUUAUUAUUUCCUGUAAAGUUUACAUUUUAUUUUGGCUUGUGCAGGAUUUUUUAUAAACCCGGCCAGACUUUGCACAACUUGUGGCUGAACACAAUAAAGCACAAUAAGCUUUAGCUUCUGCCUGCACCUGGUCAUCUAUAGUGUUUAUGUUUUGAGUGAUUUGAUUGAAUGAUCUGUAAAUGACCAAACCGAAAUAAAUGAAAUGAAAAUGAAAAUGAAAUGAAACUCCAUGCAGCACAAAAGUCCUUCAGAAUGUGUCCACUCUGCAAACGUUAAAGACACAGACCCAAGUUAGUGUGUGUAAAAAUGCUACUACCAGCAAGUGAUCAGUGCGCUUCAUUAAAAGAAAUGACAGGAUGAGAGAGGCUGAUUCACUUGCCAGGAAGUUGCAAUUAUUUCUGGA